GGUGCAAAUGAUGGUAUUGCGAUCAAAGCAUGAUGCACUGUGAUUAUGAAUUUUGGAUACUGAUGCACC